CAGCCGCCGCGGUAAAACGUAGGGGGCGAGCGUUGUCCGAAGUUACUGGGCGUAAAGCGCGCGUAGGCGGCUUCUUAAGUCUGAGGUGAAAGGUUCAACGCUUAACGUGAACAGUGCCUUGGAUACUGGGGAGCUUGAGUAUGGGAGAGGGCAGUGGAAUGGCUGGUGUAGCGGUGAAAUGCGUAGAUAUCAGUCGGAACACCCAUGGCGAAGGCAGCUGCCUGGCCUAAUACUGACGCUGAGGUGCGAAAGCGUGGGGAGCGAACGGGAUUAGAGACCCCGGUAGUCCCUGUCUCUUAUA
rnacentral:rRNA from 1 species